rnacentral:rRNA from 1 species
GACGAACGCUGGCGGCGUGCCUAACACAUGCAAGUCGAGCGAAUGAAGUUCCUUCGGGAAUGGAUUUAGCGGCGGACGGGUGGGUAACACGUGGGCAACCUGCCUCAUAGAGGGGAAUAGCCUCCCGAAAGGGAGAUUAAUACCGCAUAAGAUUGUAGUACCGCAUGAUACAGCAAUUAAAGGAGCAAUCCGCUAUGAGAUGGGCCCGCGGCGCAUUAGCUAGUUGGUGAGGUAAUGGCUCACCAAGGCGACGAUGCGUAGCCGACCUGAGAGGGUGAUCGGCCACAUUGGGACUGAGACACGGCCCAGACUCCUACGGGAGGCAGCAGUGGGGAAUAUUGCACAAUGGGGGAAACCCUGAUGCAGCAACGCCGCGUGAGUGAUGACGGCCUUCGGGUUGUAAAGCUCUGUCUUCAGGGACGAUAAUGACGGUACCUGAGGAGGAAGCCACGGCUAACUACGU